AUACGUAGGGGGCGAGCGUUGUCCGGAAUGAUUGGGCGUAAAGGGCGCGUAGGCGGCGCGGUAAGUCUGGAGUGAAAGUCCUGCUUUCAAGGUGGGAAUUGCUUUGGAUACUGCCGCGCUUGAGUGCAGGAGAGGUUAUCGGAAUUCCCGGUGUCGCGGUGAAAUGCGUAGAGAUCGGGAGGAACACCAGUGGCGAAGGCGGGUAACUGGACUGCAACUGACGCUGAGGCGCGAAAGUGUGGGGAGCAAACAGGAUUAGAUACCCUGGUAGUCCACACUGUAAACGAUGAAUGCUAGGUGUAAGAGGUAUCGACCCCUUUUGUGCCGGAGUCAACACAAUAAGCAUUCCGCCUGGGGAGUACGGCCGCAAGGUUGAAACUCAAAUGAAUUGGCGGGG
rnacentral:rRNA from 1 species